AGCAUUCAUGUCGAUCUAUCAGAACGCUCGGUCUCUUGGUUUUGAUACGAAGUCGAUGCAAAAAGCUUGCUGUGGGACUGGUGGUGAUCAUAAUUUUAGCCUGAUGAGAAUGUGUGGAGCUCCUGACGUUCCGGUUUGUCCAAACCCUGAUCAGCACAUCAGCUGGGAUGGAGUUCAUUUGACACAAAAGGCUUAUCAACACAUGGCAGCAUGGCUUAUCAACGAUAUCUUUCCAAAGCUUCACUGCAGUGCUUGAUGUGAAAGUUCUCUUUUCACCAAGAGAUGGACUUGAUAUCAUGAAGCUCUUAAUUUUGUCUACAAUUAAGCAUGUAAAAAUAUUGUUGUCUUUGAAUUAAAAAGGGGCCUCACAAGGUUGCUUGCAGCUCUAAUUAUUCAUGUUUCAAAUC